rnacentral:rRNA from 1 species
UACGGAGGGUGCAAACGUUGCUCGGAAUUAUUGGGCGUAAAGCGCACGUAGGCGGUUCGCUAUGCCGGAUGUGAAAGCCCUCGGCUUAACCGAGGAAGGGCAUCCGAAACUGGCGGGCUUGAGUACGAAAGAGGAUCGCGGAAUUCCCGGUGUAGAGGUGAAAUUCGUAGAUAUCGGGAGGAACACCAGUGGCGAAGGCGGCGAUCUGGGUCGAUACUGACGCUGAGGUGCGAAAGCGUGGGGAGCAAACAGG